ACGCACGCUGGCGGCAGGCCUCACACAUGCAAGUCGAGCGCGCCCUUCGGGGUGAGCGGCGGACGGGUGAGUAACGCGUGGGAACGUGCCCUUUUCUACGGAAUAGCCUCGGGAAACUGAGAGUAAUACCGUAUACGCCCUUUGGGGGAAAGAUUUAUCGGAAAAGGAUCGGCCCGCGUUGGAUUAGGUAGUUGGUGGGGUAAUGGCCUACCAAGCCGACGAUCCAUAGCUGGUUUGAGAGGAUGAUCAGCCACACUGGGACUGAGACACGGCCCAGACUCCUACGGGAGGCAGCAGUGGGGAAUCUUAGACAAUGGGGGCAACCCUGAUCUAGCCAUGCCGCGUGAGUGAUGAAGGCCUUAGGGUUGUAAAGCUCUUUCAGCUGGGAAGAUAAUGACGGUACCAGCAGAAGAAGCCCCGGCUAACUCCGUG
rnacentral:rRNA from 1 species